AUUGAACGCUGGCGGCAUGCCUUACACAUGCAAGUCGAACGGUAACAGGUCUUCGGAUGUUGACGAGUGGCGAACGGGUGAGUAAUACAUCGGAACGUGCCUAGUAGUGGGGGAUAACUACUCGAAAGAGUGGCUAAUACCGCAUGAGAUCUACGGAUGAAAGCAGGGGAUCGCAAGACCUUGUGCUACUAGAGCGGCCGAUGGCAGAUUAGGUAGUUGGUGGGAUAAAAGCUUACCAAGCCGACGAUCUGUAGCUGGUCUGAGAGGACGAUCAGCCACACUGGGACGGAGACACGGCCCAGACUCCUACGGGAGGCAGCAGUGGGGAAUUUUGGACAAUGGGCGCAAGCCUGAUCCAGCAAUGCCGCGUGCAGGAUGAAGGCCUUCGGGUUGUAAACUGCUUUUGUACGGAACGAGAAGCCCUGGGUUAAUACCCUGGGGUCAUGACGGUACCGUAAGAAUAAGCACCGGCUAACUACGUGCCAGCCGCCGCCGUAAGAC
rnacentral:rRNA from 1 species